CCUACGGGGGGCAGCAGUAGGGAAUAUUGCUCAAUGGGGGAAACCCUGAAGCAGCAACGCCGCGUGGAGGAUGAAGGUUUUCGGAUUGUAAACUCCUUUUGUUAGAGAAGAUAAUGACGGUAUCUAACGAAUAAGCACCGGCUAACUCCGUGCCAGCAGCCGCGGUAAUACGGAGGGUGCAAGCGUUACUCGGAAUCACUGGGCGUAAAGAGCGCGUAGGCGGGAUAGCAAGUCAGAUGUGAAAUCCUAGGGCUUAACCAUAGAACUGCAUUUGAAACUGUUAUUCUAGAGUAUGGGAGAGGUAGGUGGAAUUCUUGGUGUAGGGGUAAAAUCCGUAGAGAUCAAGAGGAAUACUCAUUGCGAAGGCGACCUGCUAGAACAUAACUGACGCUGAUGCGCGAAAGCGUGGGGAGCAAACAGGAGUAGAUACCCGUGUAGUC
rnacentral:rRNA from 1 species